AACGAACGCUGGCGGCAGGCUUAACACAUGCAAGUCGAACGCCCCGCAAGGGGAGUGGCAGACGGGUGAGUAACGCGUGAGAACGUGCCCUUCGCUUCGGAAUAGCCCCGGGAAACUGGGAGUAAUACCGAAUACGCCGUAUUGAGAAAGAUUUAUCGGCGAAGGAUCGGCCCGCGUUAGAUUAGCUAGUUGGCGGUGUAAUGGACCACCAAGGCUACGAUCUAUAGCUGGUCUGAGAGGAUGAUCAGCCACACUGGGACUGAGACACGGCCCAGACUCCUACGGGAGGCAGCAGUGGGGAAUCUUGGACAAUGGGCGCAAGCCUGAUCCAGCCAUGCCGCGUGAGUGAAGAAGGCCUUAGGGUUGUAAAACUCUUUCGCCGGAGAAGAUAAUGACGGUAUCCGGAGAAGAAGCCCCGGCUAACUUCGUGCCAGCCGCCGCGGUAACAC
rnacentral:rRNA from 1 species